rnacentral:lncRNA from 1 species
GGAAGACCUGCCAGUGAGACAAGGAGGCGGGAUCUUCCAGGUGCCUUUCUGCAAGUUCACUAUGGCAGUGCAGACUUGAAUGGCUCUCUGUGUCCUGCUCUGAACUCAGGUGUUGGGUGCUGUAAGGGGACCUCAGCAAAGUUCUGAAGUUGAGACACAGGGUCACUGCCCACAAUUCAGAGGAGCAGGAUGCAGUGACUUAUGAUGCUGUGCAUGUGAACUUUCCUAGGGAAGAGUAGAAUUUGCUGGAUCCUUCCUAGAAGAGUCUCUACAAAGAUGUGAUGCAGGAAACCUACUUGGACCUCACUGUUAUAGGCCACACUUGGGAAGACUAUCAUAUUGAAGGACAUUGUCAAAGUUUGAGAAGACAUGAAAGGUAAUCUUCAUGUGCACUCUGAUACGCAUAUGGCUCUGAGGAAAUUUUAAUAUGUUCUGGAAGCUCUAAAGAAAAGCAAGAGUGCCGGGCAGUAGUGGCGGACACCUUUAAUCCCAGCACUUGGGAGGAAGAAGCAACACAGGUAACCUAGCAACGUUUUACAUGACAAAGCCUUGCCUGCCUUCCUGCUCUCAGAUUAGCCUGGGGAUCACACCCACCCCACACCCAC